CACAAACACAUCAACACCAUAGCAGACCUUAAAAGAUGUUUGACUGAGGAGCAAGAAAAAUGUCAGCAGGAAAUUGAAGCAGUGAAUAUAAAACUAAAGGCCUCAGAAGAAGAAAGAAAGAGACAAGCUAUGCACAUCAUAGAACUGACAGCAGAGAAUAAAAGAUUAAAGAUAGAAAUGAAGGCCAUGCAGAAGUCAGUCAAACAAGCUCAACAGAAAAUGGCCGUCCUUCAUCAAGCUAUAGAACUGUCGGAUGACAAGGAGAAGAUAACUCAGGAGCA
rnacentral:sRNA from 1 species